AACAAACGCUGGCGGCGUGCCUAAUACAUGCAAGUCGAACGGGGAAAGCUUUCGGGUGAGUACUAGUGGCGCACGGGUGAGGAACGCGUGGAUAAUCUGCCUUAGAGUGGGGGAUAACUAGUCGAAAGAUUAGCUAAUACCGCAUAAGACCACAGGAGCUGCGGCUCAAGGGGUCAAAGGUUUUUCGCUCUAAGAUGAGUCCGCGUAAGAUUAGCUAGUUGGUGAGGUAACGGCUCACCAAGGCGACGAUCUUUAACUGGUCUGAGAGGAUGAUCAGUCACACUGGAACUGAGACACGGUCCAGACUCCUACGGGAGGCAGCAGUAGGGAAUAUUGCACAAUGGAGGAAACUCUGAUGCAGCGACGCCGCGUGAGUGAUGAAGGCCUUCGGGUCGUAAAGCUCUGUCGCACGGGAAUAACACAAUGAAGGUACCCUGUAAGAAAGGAUCGGCUAACUUCGUGCCAGCAGCCGCCGUAAAAC
rnacentral:rRNA from 1 species